rnacentral:sRNA from 1 species
CUUUCAGAUUUGACUUUACACAUAAAAGACAAUCAGGUGGUGCAGGCCAGUAUGGAAAAGUAAUAGGUGUCCUGGAGCCUCUGGACCCAGAGGACUACACUAAAUUGGAGUUUUCAGAUGAAACAUUCGGAUCAAAUAUUCCAAAGCAGUUUGUGCCUGCUGUAGAAAAGGGGUUUUUAGAUGCCUGCGAGAAGGGCCCUCUUUCUGGUCACAAGCUCUCUGGGCUCCGGUUUGUCCUGCAAGAUGGAGCGCACCACAUGGUUGAUUCUAAUGAAAUCUCUUUCAUCCGAGCAGGAGAAGGUGCUCUUAAACAAGCCUUGGCAAAUGCAACAUUAUGUAUUCUUGAACCUAUUAUGGCUGUGGAAGUUGUAGCUCCAAAUGAAUUUCAGGGACAAGUAAUUGCAGGAAUUAACCGACGCCAUGGGGUAAUCACUGGGCAAGAUGGAGUUGAGGACUAUUUUACACUGUAUGCAGAUGUAAGUACUCUUGGUCAUUGACAGUCCUGCUUUUAUUAACCAUAGAAGGAAAUCCAGAUUAGCUUUUGUUUUUGCAAAUGGACACAUUUCCUUGCUGAAUUUGUGGCUUUAUACAUGUGGCAUUUUCUGUAAUUUGCUAUUAGAGCAACUCUUAAGUGCAGAAGUUAAAAAUAAGGUUUAUUUUAUCUUGACCUUUUGUGCGUGUGUCAUUUUCGUAGAUGUAUAUUAUCUCUCUUUCUUGGAUAAGCACAGAUGGACAAAUU